rnacentral:lncRNA from 1 species
AUGCGCGUCGUGUUCUUCCUUAGUGAAGGGCUGAUGGCAAGCAAUUGCACGCUCUGUGAGGUUGGAGACGGGCAGUUUCAUUCUGUGUUACUCAAAAUACGCUGUCUUCCUCUUACCAUCACCUGGUUUUUCUUCUACAGAAAUGCCCUGGCAAGGUGCUGCAGCAGUCCUGCAGACAGACUGGUAGGCCAUCUCCAGUGCAGCGGCUUCAGGAGAAUGAUGGCAGGACAGCUUCCUGAAAGCUCCAGCAGUUUCUUCUUCACCAGCCAUAAAGCCUGUGAUGUCUUCAGGCUUCUCUUGGUACCCCGCCGUGACCACUUUGGAAAGCAGCAUUGUGAUGUAGGACCUUGGUGUAAAUGCUGUCUGCUGGCGAUUAGAGGUCAUCCUCCAGGUCUCCUUUCACCAGGUAAAGGGGUUGGAGGGGAUGUGGGGACAGAUUAA